GGGAUUGCCUUAGUAACGGCGAGUGAAGCGGCAACAGCUCAAAUUUGAAAGCUGGCUCCUUUGGAGUCCGCGUUGUAAUUUGUAGAGGAUGAUUCGGCAAGGGCUCCCGCCUAAGUCUCCUGGAACGGAGCGUCAUAGAGGGUGAGAAUCCCGUAUGCGGUGGGCUGCCUAAGCCAUGUGAAUCUCCUUCGACGAGUCGAGUUGUUUGGGAAUGCAGCUCUAAAUGGGAGGUAAAUUUCUUCUAAAGCUAAAUACCGGCCAGAGACCGAUAGCGCACAAGUAGAGUGAUCGAAAGAUGAAAAGCACUUUGGAAAGAGAGUUAAAAAGUACGUGAAAUUGUUGAAAGGGAAGCGCUUGCAGCCAGACUUGUCCGCAGUUGCUCAGCCGGUCUCCUGACCGGUGUACUCUUCUGCGGCCAGGCCAGCAUCAGUUCGGGCGGUCGGAUAAAGACCUCGGGAAUGUAGCUCCUCUCGGGGAGUGUUAUAGCCCGGGGUGGAAUGCGGCCAGCCUGGACUGAGGAUCUCGCUUCGGCUAGGAUGCUGGCGUAAUGGCUGUAAGCGGCCCGUCUUGAAACACGGACCAAGGAGUCUAACAUCUAUGCGAGUGUUUGGGUGUCAAACCCAUGCGCGUAAUGAAAGUGAACGGAGGUGGGAACCCUCACGGGUGCACCAUCGACCGAUCCUGAUGUCUUCGGAUGGAUUUGAGUAAGAGCAUAGCUGUUGGGACCCGAAAGAUGGUGAACUAUGCCUGAAUAGGGUG
rnacentral:rRNA from 1 species